CUAAGUACUCCCGCUCAACUUUCAUUCCUAAGUCCAAAUCUCUACAACCACCGUCUCACCGCCACCUUCGCACCUUCGCAGCGCCAUCGACGUCUCACCCACCGUCGCACCGCCACCGAAGUCUGCUGCCUCCGGUGCUUUGUCCUUGGCCUCGGUCGACGAUUGUAGCAGUCAAUGUCGCGCAUCUUUCUCUCUCUCUCCCAUCGUCCUUCUCGGUCUUCCCCACCCCCAAAUCCUAAACCCUAGGUUGUCGCAGGCGGCCUGCCAUUGAAGCUUCUCAGGAAAGCCAACUUUCCCCUCACGACCUAUCUCGCACUCCUCUUUUUUUCCCCAAAUCCAGAACCCUAGGUCGUUUGUCGCCACCGCCUCCAUCGGUAGUCACCUCCCUUGCACUGAAAUACUCCGAUUUUGAUGGCGGCGGCCCUCUCUCUCGUAGAUAAUAUGCACAAAUUGGGCACAACUUUAUCUUUCUAGGGUUCUAAAUCGCACCGGUAACGACAGUUCUCUCCCUAUCUCUCUCCACUCUCCAACUUCAGUAAGUCCUGAACUCUGCACNUCUC
rnacentral:lncRNA from 1 species